UACGGAGGAUGCAAGCGUUAUCCGGAUUCAUUGGGUUUAAAGGGUGCGUAGGCGGGAUGAUAAGUCAGAGGUGAAAGCCAGCAGCUCAACUGUUGAACUGCCUUUGAUACUGUCGUUCUUGAAUAUGGUUGGCGUGGGCGGAAUGUGACAUGUAGCGGUGAAAUGCGUAGAUAUGUCACAGAACACCGAUCGCGAAGGCAGCUCACGAAACCAUCAUUGACGCUGAUGCACGAAAGCAUGGGGAGCAAACAGG
rnacentral:rRNA from 1 species